CCUCGAAGUUGCCGAAAUAUUCACGUAAAAAUACCGUGUAACCAUCAGGGAUGAUGGUUAAGGCGCGUUAGUACAUGGACGUACUGUCGUGCCGUUAGGUAUUUUUACUUGAAUAUGAGGAAGAACAACUU
rfam:Shewanella denitrificans OS217, complete genome.